AUGUUUCACAGAAUGAAUCCUAAUUGAAGAUGAAACCCUCAGCAACCUGGAAAUCUUGAAAAAAAGACACAGGGUCCCACCAUGUUGUCCAGGCUAACCUCAAACUCCUGGAUUCGAGUGAUCCUCCCGUCUCAGCCUCCCGAGUAGCUGGGAUUACAGGCGUGUGCCACCAUACCUGACUCAUCUUAUUGUUUGUAAUGGUGAAACUGAGAUGGAACUAUAAUUAUGAAGAAUGAGUCUGAUUCUUUUGUGGAAUAAGGAUUGCUUUUAUUUAUAGAUACGUAUCAAUGACUUCUUACUAAAUUAUAAAAAGAUAUUUAUAUAAUUCAUUCAGUUUAGUUUCAGCAUGCUGUAUAAAACAUACACAACUGAAUAUUUACUCUGCCCUAUAAUUAAACAUCAUAAUCUUUAA
ensembl:lncRNA novel transcript